AAGUAGUAAAUCCAAGGUUUGCAGAGUCGGUUUUGACGUAUGCGCGCGUAUAUGUCAAACAAUAAAUAUUAUAUAAAUGAUUUAUGACAUUUGAUUUAAUAAAUGAAUAAAAAUUACACAAAUAACUAAAAAUAUAGUGCAUAGAGAUGAACAAGACAAGAUUUAUGAUUGAAAUCUGGUUUUCCAUAUUAAAAUCAUUGUCAGCCGAGAAACAAAAUCUGUGCAAGAUAAAAUAGAAACAUAAAGA
rnacentral:lncRNA from 1 species